rnacentral:rRNA from 1 species
UAAACUAGGAUUAGAUACCCUAUUAUUAAAAAGGUAAAUUAACCCACUAAAUUAGAAUUAGUUAUGUGCUUGAAAAUUAAAAGAUUUGGCGGUAUUUUAGUCUUUUCAGAGGAACCUGUUUUGUAAUUGAUAGUCCACGAUUAGAUAUACUUUAAUUAUUAGUUUAUAUAUCGUCGUAGUUGGAAUAUUUUAUGAGAAUUUUAAUAUUCAAGAUUUUAUAUUAAAAAGCAUAUCAGAUCAAGGUGUAGUUUAUAUUAAAGUAAUAAUGGGUUACAAUAAAUUUAUUUAAGGAUGAUUUUUAUUAUAAAAAUUUGAAUUUGGUUUUGAAAGUAAUUUUUUAAUUUUGUAAGAACGAUUAUCGCUCUAAAAUAUGCACACAUCGCCCGUCGCUCUUAA